AACUGCAUUGCUUUGCUGUACAGUAGAAAUUAACACAAAAAUGUAAAUCAACUAUAAUUCAAUAAACUUUAAAAAGUGAAAAUAAUAAAUUCAGGAAGGCAAAAAAAGGGAACUUCUCCAAGUGUCAAACAAUUGGGAAAAGUAAUAUUACAUAAAUGUCACAAACAUUUAGCAAGCUAAAACUCAGUCCAUGUGUGGUAGACAGCGUAACAGAGGAAAGAAUGUGUGGGUGGAGUUGGCCUGGCUGAGACCAGGCCCCACAUGGUCCCAGUCAUCUUUCCCUCUUUCAGCCUCUGUUUCCUCACCUUUAGGUGGGGCUAGAAAUAUCCACCUUAAAGGGAUGCUAGUUCCAGUGGGGGAUCAUAAAUUACAAAUCUGUACAGUGAAUGGCAAGAGAAGCACAACAUUGUCCUUAAUAAAUGGUUGUAAGGUCUUAUGGCAUCCUGUGGCCUAUGACAAUAAUGAUCAUUCCACCUUCCUGCUCACAAACCCCAGCUCCAAUCAAACUUUUGGGAUAAAAGUCUAAUUCCUUGCCUUGGGCUAUAGUAGCCCUGCCUGGUCUCAUCCCUGCCCUUGUUGCCAGUCCCAUUUUUUAGCCAUUCUUCCUCUCAAGGAUUUUUGAUUGCUCAGAUGGUUCGAACAUUGCCCGUCUACCCCAGAAUUUUUGAACCUGCUGUGUCUUUGGCUUUGUAUUAAGGCUCUACUCAUUCUUGUCUUUGAGGUCUCAGUUAAAUGAUGCUUCCUCAGAGGAGUUUUCCCUGAACCCCAGAAAAAAAAAAUCAGUCCCCCUCAUAUAUCUCCAGAACCCUUUCUUAUUUUGAGAAUCUCCUUACAGUGGUAAUGAAGUACUUAACUCAGUAUUACUUAUUUAACGGCUGUCUCUUCACUACAAUAUAACCUCCAGGGGGCCAUGUCUGUGCUUUAGUUCCAGUUCCUGGCACAGGGUUCUACUCAUGGCUGGUGUUUGAUGAGUGUUCGUGGAAUGAAUGAAUAAAAACAUCAAGGAGUUGAUGAAUAAAGGAUUGCCUUAUUUAAAACAAAUUCCUCUUGUCAUUUCUGACCUGUUUUGCUUAAAAGAUGACCAUGGGCUGUGAACCAUGGAGACUUUUACCAAAGUCACAGAUUUUUACCCAAAGUUGUAUCCCUUUCCCCCCUGAUGAGAACAAAACUUCCUCAGGGACCAUUUGUUGCUUGUGGCAUGGCAGGCAGCCUUGUAUACCAAAUGAGCUGCAUCCACUCUGACCAGAAUGAUACACCGGAUGAUAAAAAUAUGCCACCUCCCUGAAACAGAUGCUUCGUUUUAUGAUGGAAGUGGAGACACCGAAGCCUGCAGGUGCAGGCUGGGCUGACACAGGCUCUGUGGAGGAUCAUUAGAGCCUCCUUGGAGAUGUGGAUUUACUCUGUGUUUAAUCAGCCACAGGCAGAAGAAAUGGCUUCAUUUCAGCUCGAUGAGAGUCAGAUCACAAAAGAAAGAUAGAUGGCCAAUACGGCUCAUCACUACAAGCAUAUUGUCUUAAUUUGAAGGAACAGCCUGGCAUCCGUGCUAAUCAAGGAGGAAAGUGCAAUAUGGCUAGCAUUGAGGACUAGGCAGUUUAACUCUCAGUGCAUCCCUUAAAGGAAAGCUCUCAGUUGUUUCUUAAUUAAUAUUUUAAGGAAAGUGAGAACCGUAAAACACAUUACUCAAUCACUUCGGAAAUUACCCAGUUUGGAAUUUAAGCUGCUUAAGGAAGGACUUUUCAUACCCAAAAUGUCUAAACCUCUACCUAUAAAGAAAUAUUAUAGCCAUCGAAUGAAAGGCCUUAGAAAGGGCAAUCCACUGGCUGGUUGCUUUUCAUACAUGGUCAUAUUUGCUGUUGACCGGGAAAUAGCGACAAAGAGAGGAGCCGUCAUGUCUAAGGAGUGGUUACCUGCUGGUCACCUGGAGGCUCUUGUUGUUGGCAGCUGGGUCCUCUGUUUGUCUUUGGUCCUCUGGAGCUCACCUUGGGGAUGCAUGUAAAAUAGAGAUUCAGCUCAGCUCAGCUGCAGUUAGCGUCUUCAUGGCCUAAAAAUGCCAGAAAAGGGAUUUGAAGCUUGUGUGGGAGCAGUAACACAGAUCUGAACUCAGCGUCCUUGCCAAAGCCCCCUCACUUGAAGUCAGAGCAGAUAAUGAGUAGCUUGGGUACUUACAAACAAGAGGAUGUUUUAGAAUCAUCUGGUAUGUGUCACAUCCGUGUUUGCCGGAGAUCCCCUGAGCCUUAGCACAAAGAGCUUUUACAGCCCUCCCCACCCCAAUGACUAUUUUCCAGAUGUUCUGAAACAACAUCAAGUGACCCACUUUACCCCUGAGAGGUUUAUAAAGGUGCAUUUACAGAGACGCUGGCUGAGGGAGGAUGAGAUAUUCGCUCAGAAGCUUAGUCCUAGAUAAUCUCCCGUGAACGUGGUAUCGAAUCUUACUUUACCUAAGGCACAUUGAGAACGGUUUUUAGAAAACGAUAUGCUAAACACGCCUAAAGUGAAGCAGAAACUUAAGAAGCUUAACAAUGGCUGUAGAAAUAUUAUCAUCAGCCAUCGAGGUAAUGGUAUCCAGUCGUUCCCCACCUACAGGCACAGAUUUAGGCUUAAGCAGAUGAAGACAACACGGGGAGAAGUGUGUGGUCUUAGAGUGUUUAAAUAUCAGCCAAUCAAGGGGAAGGACUUUGUUAACAUUUAAACCUGAGCAUGUGUCUUUGGCUUUUUGUACUGAAUGUGAUGAAUACAAAAUCACAACUGCAGAAAUGGAAAGGGUCUUCUGAGGUGGGGGGAAGAUUGGGGUUAACAUAUACACAUUACUCUAUAUGAAAUAGAUAACAAGGACCAACUAUAUAGCACAGGGAACUAUGUUCAAUAUCUUGUAGCAACCUAUAAUGGAAGGGAAUCUGAAAAAAGAAGAAAGUGUUUGUAUGUAUGUAUAACUGAAUUGCUUUCCGGAACACCUGAAACUGACAUGACAUUGUAAAUCAACUAUACUUCCAAAAAAAUAGCAUGCUGAGAGGCAUGCUGAGUUUUUGUGUGGAACUUGAUAGGGAAGCAAUAACAAUGAAGCAAGAGAAGCCAUCAUUUGCAGAUAGGAAAUUGUUGCAUCCUCUGCCCAUGGGCAGAAAAUGCCAGAGCAGUCCCCAGGAUCAGAACCCAGCUCUCUGCCCAUGUAAUUGAGGUGAGCCAUUUUCUCAAGGAGAAACAAUGCUUGGUCAUGUGAAAAGAGCUAACUAUUCCCUCCAAGCAUGGACAUCACACAAUGUAUCAAAAUCUGGUGAGAAAGUAGGAUAAUUUUUCUAUAGCACAUCUGCUACAUUAGAGGACAUUCAGUGGAAUAGGUCCCCCCCAACCCCUGCAACCCCCAAAGUAAGCAGCAUGCCUAAGACUUGAUGUGAAAAGUACUUAAUGGUCUACAGUAUGUCAAUCACCCAGUGGUUGUCUUUGCAAAACGAACAACCUUCCUGGCGUGAUGUCCAUUAUUGCUGGCACUAACUCAUGGCAGUCAUCCUGCAGAGGUCCUUUAUACAUGAAAGGGAGCACUGUGGAGGGCUUCUAGCCUCUGUGGAUCUCUGAAUGCCUACUGGUGAUCCUGCUGUUCAUCAACCAUUUACAUGGUAGAUUGUUCUGCUGCAACCCAUCACCAACUCAUGGCUGACCGUCCUUUUGAGGAGUUCAGAAAUAGACACUCCUCAUCUAUUAGAAGGCUGGAGAGCUUGGCUACCACUGACAUGUUUGUCUAGCUCAGACUCUGGCAGAGAAGCAGAACUCCAACUUUUGUGGAGACAUGGAUGCCCACUUGAGAUAAGAUGGCUAGGCUCUGCUUUGCAAAUGUGUGGUCUGGAACAUUAAAGACUGAUCCUUUUGAGUCACUUGUCACUGCUGGUGCUUUUUUCAUUCCUGCAACUAAUCUGCCCAUAGUUAGAAACGUGAAUUACAUUACCCUUAUCUUGACAUCCCGAACUGUCAAUGUUGUUAUUGGUCAUCAAAUUAGCCACUUCCUCUCUUUUCAAAUCCACUGACAGUUUUGGGUGGUUUGAGUUGAGUGGGUUGGACAAGGGGAAAUAGGCGAUUUCCUCUGCCUCUUGUAGAGUUAAUCUCUCAUCCAGAUACUGCUAAAGCAUCUCUUUCAACAGCCGUCUUUAUUCCUAAUUUAGCAGCAUAACUGUAAGGAACAAGUUUCUUCUUUACAAUGGCUGCAACUCAAAAUCCGAAUGAUAGAUGAUUUCCUUGUCCUGAAGAAGACACUUAAGCACUUACAUUUCUUUCAACAAUUUAUUCCAGUUUGAACAAGACAGUCCAUUUCUCAUGUGAGCAUGAUGCAAGCAGGUUACGUGUGUGCAAACGAAAAUGUCUGGUGUCCAUUCAAGUGCUGGGUGAGAAGAACUUAGAAAGAAGGCUGCCAUCCAGAAAUAGUGUUUUUUGGGUGUCCAUCAUUCAAUAUUUGGGGACUUUUCUCCUGCCUGCAUGAAUUCUCUCUGUCCUUAAACAUCCUAUUUAGGUCUGCUCAGAGAAGUAAUUUUUCUUACCAUGGAUUUUUUUUUUUUUUUUUGGUUCACUAUGGUAGUCCCAAUAAAGGAAACUUGUAGUUCUUAAUCUUUGCACUUUUGCAUUUUUGAUAUAUAUAUAUAUAUCAACCCCCUCCUUUCCCUGAGACUCCUACCCUGUCCAUCCACUAAAUAGCUACUUGGUCUGCUCAGGUAGUCAGACUGACUCCAAGCUAAAACCUAGAAAGUAUUUAUAGCCAUCUAGCUAGACAAGUUUCUCUUUCUCUGAAGUAGAAACAUUCAUUUCCACUAACAUGUUUUGUUCAGCAUGCUGCAUCUUCGCUGUUAAAAUGUCACUUCUGUGGCAAUUAGUUCCACAAGGAAAAUUUGUAAAUAUCUUCAAAAAGCAUUUCUCCUUUUUUACCCCCAAAACAUUAGCUAAGUCAGCAUAUGUCUUUCUAAAAUCUUGUUCCUUUAUAGAGGUCAUCCCUUCCCUUCUUUCCUGAUCUGCUGGAAAAUGUUCACAUGCCCACGUUCUCUACCCAAGGGUGAAGUAUUGUGUAUUUCACCAUAUGCACCUGGCCCCAGAGGCUCAAAGGGGCUAUAACACCUUUGAUCAUAGAAGUGAUUUUAAUGAUCUUAUGAAAGGUUUUCCAACUGGCAGGUCUUUGGGGAACUGAGACCAGCUUCUUCCAUGGGUGUCUUUCAGGGGUUAAUUUGGAUCAGAAGCAAUGGAUGCUUCUUUCCUAUAUUCGGAGUAAACAAUUAGAGUCCAAGUGCCCUGUUCUCACCCACACGAACCGCCCCCCUUGAAAGCUGAGCCACCCUAAGUCUAAAGAGGAAUUGCUGCCACUCAGAAAAAACUCCAUCCACUUCUCUCUCCACUGCAUGAAGCUUAGACUCAUCUGAGUAAAGUGUUAUGAGAAAAUUCACACCCCAUCACCAAGAAGCAGCUGUGUAUUGCCACAGUCACUAACUUUUGAAAGACGUUAAAGGAAGGUAUUUGUUUCAAGCCAGUCACUUCAGUUACAGCUUUGCCUUCAGAUUUUAAUAUCAUGGUAUGUCCUUCUAAUCCUGUAAGUGUUACCUUGUUUCUCUGUUAGGAAUAGAGGGGAACCCUGACCAGUAAUUUAUGGCUCCUAUUAAGAGGGUUAGCUGGACGUGCAGACAAUAUGUCAAUAAUUACUUCUGGUAGAGCCCGAACAGCAGAGGAAGUGCCUCUGUAGAAUGGCUUAUGUUAACAGAAGACAGAUAUCUUGACCUGGGUUUUAUGACAGAUGUCAAAUAUAUUGAAGUGUGUUGUGAAGCAGAUCGCCUUAUUGGCAAAGAAAUGGAAGACCACCAGGAAGAUGGAUGGGAAGCUUUCCUCAAGGGUUUUACUGUCUCUUUGGGCAGGUGCGGCAAUGAAUGUGAUGGAGGGUCGACAAGCAGGUAAAAGUAGAAACAUCGAUGAGCUGUCUGAAUUUCUAUCUGUUCACCAGGCUUGGCAGCACAAGUCAAGUUGGCAGGUGUCGGGUAAGAUGGGAGGACAGAGUGAGGGACUAGUGCGAUGGGAUUGAGGCCACUCUGAGUGGGAGUAUCUCUUACAUGUAGCAUCAUAGGCUCCUUUGGGACCUGCUCAAGAAAUGUUGGUUGUCCAGUCUUCCUUUCUGAGUUCAGAUUGACAAAUACUUCUCGAGGGCCCACCAGUGCCAAGUGCAGUAAUGGACUUUAGAGAUUAGUGCUGAUACCCCCUGGGUUCCAGUUCCAAUCCCACCCUAGUCACAGAGCUCACCUUCCUUCUUCUGGGUCCCUCUGUGUUGGGAGGACACAGGGUCUUAGGGUCACUUAUUAGCUGCUGGGUGGCCUGGGGUAAGUAGAUGCACUUCUCUGAAUCUUGCUUCCCUCAGUUGCAAAAAAAGGACACUUAGACUCAUGCCUCAUAGAGUUGAGAGGAUUGAGCAUCACAGCCUGAUUUUGCUUUGCUAAAAAGACCAGAUAGAGAAAUUAUAGAGGGGAAAGUGAUGACCAGCCACAAGUUGCCUUUAAUAUCAUCAAUUCUGCUUUUCAUAAAAUUUAUAUCACCCUCCACUAAAAUCAUCUGACAUUAGAUUACAAACUCUGUGUAUCCUUAGCCCUGACCUUCCUUGGUCAAAUGAAUUAUAAAAAGGGCAUUUUUUUUCCCUCCAGGUGGGUGUAGCCAGCAUCCAGAUGUUCUGCUUGGUUGAAGAACAAACUGGAUACCAACUGCUCUUCAGCUGGGCACCUUUGUAUUGUGCACAACCCGCACAACCAUCUAUGGUGACUCCACUAACACCUCACACGGUGCUUGGCCCAGCAUACAUACUUGGUGAUUUUUAGGCUAUUUAGCUGGACUGUGUUUCCCAGCAGUCCUUGCAGAUGGUUUCAAAUGAACAACUCUGAGGGCUUGAAGAUACACAAGGCAACAUCCUUUACCUUGGUGAGUUCACAGUAGCAUGGAAGCAUUUGUAACAUGCAUAAAUGGUGAAUGUAAACAACAAUAGAACAAUAGAAACCAGAGAUUCAAGUAGAAUUUUGUGGGGAGCAAAGGAGGGCUCAGGGAAGACUGAGCAGAGAUAGAAUGGGCAUGAAUUAGAAAAACCACUUGCCAGCAUAGGGAAGUAAUAUAAUUUCUUAUGCUAUUUUAUAUAUUUUAUGUAAUAUCUUUUGUGCCUUGAUAAUAUGGAGUUAAUGUCAAAACCUUUUUAUUUUGAAAUGAUCCUAGAGUAACAGAAUAAUUCAAAGGAGUACAGAGAAUACCUCUAUACUCUUCACCCAGCUAGCCCUAAAUGCUAACCUAUGAUACAAUGAAAUUAACUACAAUUUAGUCCAAUACUAUUAAACUCCAGAUUUCACCAGUUUUUCCUCAAAAAAAAAUUUUUUUUUUUUUUUUCAGUUCUGGGAUCCAAAGCAGGAUCCAGAAUCACACUUAAUCUUGAGCUUCUCAGAUCCUUCUGGGCCAAAUUUAGAGCACAGGCCAUUCACAGACCAUUCUCCAGUCCAUCUGAGGUUAAGAACAUUGAAAUGAGAGCCUCAAAGUGCCAGUUCCAGGACUGGAUCAGUCAUUAAUGAAAAGCUAGGCCUGUCCAGUGGAUGGUUGUGGGGAUCAAACUUGAAAGCACUCUGCAAAUGAUGGAGAACUCUCCUUUAGUGAGAUCAUUUAUUCAUUCAUCAAUCACCCAGAAAACCUUUCUUGAGUGCCAGCCACAUCUGAGACACUGGGUUAGGCACAGGCCCACAUAGCUCAUGCUUCUCAGACCUAGCAGGUCUGGUCUUGCAAAGCCGACCAUUAAGUAUUUAUCAAAUACCUACCAGGGCCUAUGACACUAAUGAUGGGCUUACCAUCAGAGUGUAUGCCAUGAAUAUUCCAUUUUGGGCCAGAGAGAGUUAACGUGCUGUCUCUGCCUCCCUGAUGCCUGGAGAGCCCACAUCACUCAGUGAAGACUACGGAUGCAUUAGGCUCAAUGUAUGUAUUUUCUUUUCCUCUCUGUUUAUGUCUCUGUUUUCUGUAAAGUCUCCUAAACUGCAGCAGUAUCUACCAAGUUCUCUGACAGUGCUAUAAAUUUCAUUAAGAAGAUGAAGCCUUAUGGGGCAAUUAACUCCAAAAGUGGUACAGAGCAAUAGCAGGAGAUACUGGCCUGUAGUACUUAGCACUUAGCUCUGAAAUUGAGAUAAGCCCUAUCAACUCGGGGUUGUGUUUAAUGUUCACUGCCGCUUCCACACCACAGCUACAACCCAGCGGUCACUGUGUUAACACUCCCCAAUAUCUAUUACAAUUAGUUUUUGAUUAAGAGGCCUAACAUGGCUUUUGAAGCCUUUUAUGUUGUGUCAAAUGGCUAGUGAUGGAGUGAGAUGGUCGGACACCUCCCAGUAACAAAGCAUCUUGUAAAAGGUUUCAAGUGAACUAUUUUAUCAUCCUAAUGGAAACCAGAUGACUCUAACUCCCCCCUUAAUUUCAACUAUUUACUGAAGAGUCCUUGUUUUGAAUUACUUAAAGAUUUAUUCUUAAACGACGACCUCAUGCAUCAAGAAUUGCUAAUAACAGAGCCAUUUGGAAUUUGGGAAAGCUUUUAAAGAUGACGGAGGCGAUUUUCACAGAGGGUUUAUUUUAUUUUAUUAUUUCUUUUGAUUUUUAAAGGAGCAAAUGCCUUUGCCCUUUUCUGGUAUUUAAUUAUUACUUUAAUGAUCGUUUGAGGAGGCUUUUCUCUGAGUUGUGCUUUCUCUGACGGGGUUUUAGUUCAUAGUCUUGGCCUAUUUUCUAAGAGUGAGGUUUCGGGUACUUUGUGAAAAAAAAAAAAAAAAAGAACCCAACUUUUUAUAGUUAUAAAAGAUUUAAGUCUGUGUGAAUGGGAAAUAUUUGUCAUUUUUAUAACGGUACAUUAGAUCAAACAAUGUGGAAUUAUUUAGAAGCUUUUAUGAACUAUAAAAUAUACUUGUAAAUUUAAUCACAAUAGUGUAUAAAUAGAGCGAUUUGUGAUUGUGAAACAUACUAGCUUUACUAACAGACUUUUCAUCCUUUUUUUUUUUUAAAAAAAAAAAACAAACAAAAAACUAACUGUUUCAGUAGCUUUGGCCACAUACCUCUCUUUGAACCUCUGUUUUUAAGCUGGUGAUCUGGCCCAUGGACUAGACACACCCUGAGUUUUUGGUCAUUGAUUCUGCGAUGUCAGAGGUGCAGGAACUAUUAGCUGCUGGAGGACAAAAGCCUCAUUACGGGGAGAAGUGUGGUGUUUGGGUUUGAGCUGAUAGAAGCUGUGUAUCCUUUGCUGUGAUAUCCAACUCACUGAGCUGCAACUCCCUUCUAUGGAAAAUAAGCAUGAUGUUAUCUUAGAGGAUUAUAACUCAUACAUAAAAUCAGGCAUAUAGAGUGCCCAGUAAAUAGUAGCCUCUCAAUAAUUUCUAUUUCCUUUUUUUCUCUCCUAUUCUGUCCUGUAUCUUGUUGUCUAAGACAAUUUGAAUGAAUUUUGUACUGUGACGUUUGUGGCAUACAUCAUUCUAUAAUACACAUUUACUGGGCUUGCUAAAUGCUGGGUCCUAUGAGGUCUGGGAAUCCUGAGAUGAGAGGCAGUAUCCUUGUUCAUACACAAAUUGGGUAAUGGGCAAAAGGCGGGGAAUUUUUUCCCUUUUUUCCUUCUCUUUUUAUGACUCUACCUGUAGCAUAUGGAAGU